UCGAGCGGCAGCACGGGUACUUGUACCUGGUGGCGAGCGGCGGACGGGUGAGUAAUGCCUAGGAAUCUGCCUGGUAGUGGGGGAUAACGUCCGGAAACGGGCGCUAAUACCGCAUACGUCCUACGGGAGAAAGUGGGGGAUCUUCGGACCUCACGCUAUCAGAUGAGCCUAGGUCGGAUUAGCUAGUUGGUGAGGUAAUGGCUCACCAAGGCGACGAUCCGUAACUGGUCUGAGAGGAUGAUCAGUCACACUGGAACUGAGACACGGUCCAGACUCCUACGGGAGGCAGCAGUGGGGAAUAUUGGACAAUGGGCGAAAGCCUGAUCCAGCCAUGCCGCGUGUGUGAAGAAGGUCUUCGGAUUGUAAAGCACUUUAAGUUGGGAGGAAGGGCAGUUACCUAAUACGUGACUGUUUUGACGUUACCGACAGAAUAAGCACCGGCUAACUCUGUGCCAGCAGCCGCGGUAAUACAGAGGGUGCAAGCGUUAAUCGGAAUUACUGGGCGUAAAGCGCGCGUAGGUGGUUUGUUAAGUUGGAUGUGAAAGCCCCGGGCUCAACCUGGGAACUGCAUCCAAAACUGGCAAGCUAGAGUAUGGUAGAGGGUGGUGGAAUUU
rnacentral:rRNA from 1 species